rnacentral:rRNA from 1 species
AACGAACGCUGGCGGCAGGCUUAACACAUGCAAGUCGAGCGGAUGAGUGGAGCUUGCUCCAUGAUUCAGCGGCGGACGGGUGAGUAAUGCCUAGGAAUCUGCCUGGUAGUGGGGGAUAACGUUUCGAAAGGAACGCUAAUACCGCAUACGUCCUACGGGAGAAAGUGGGGGAUCUUCGGACCUCACGCUAUCAGAUGAGCCUAGGUCGGAUUAGCUAGUUGGUGGGGUAAUGGCCCACCAAGGCGACGAUCCGUAACUGGUCUGAGAGGAUGAUCAGUAACACUGGAACUGAGACACGGUCCAUACUCCUACGGGAGGCAGCAGUGGGGAAUAUUGGACAAUGGGCGAAAGCCUGAUCCAGCCAUGCCGCGUGUGUGAAGAAGGUCUUCGGAUUGUAAAGCACUUUAAGUUGGGAGGAAGGGCAGUAAGUUAAUACCUUGCUGUUUUGACGUUACCAACAGAAUAAGCACCGGCUAACUUCGUGCCAGCCGCCGCCGUAAAAC